UGUCAUUGUUGCCGGUAAUGUUUUUUAUUGCAUCAAAAGUGCAGAAAAUCGCUGGCAACAGUGUCUGCGGCACACUCAGAAAUGCCGCGCGGCAUGUACCUUUGAGAGAAACGGACAAUACCAGAUUUUUUUCCGACCGGAUGGCGAAAGGACGGAUCGUGCAGACAAUUUUAAACCAUCGUGACUCCAAAUCGCCGCGUAAUCCGUUCAGGUAACAAUUUCACAAAGCUGCUGCCGCCGCUAUGAGUUUCUGAUCGGACGAAUCGAUUUUCUUGUUUACCGCGACCUCACAGACUCAGGUAACAUUAACGACCGUUGGUUCCGACGGCGGCCCUCCUCAGCAUUCUCAAGAAGGAUCCGGAGAAUAGCACCGAUGAGGACAGUUCCGUGCAGCAAGCAAAAAAGCAAAAAAGGAAAU